GGGGGCGCGAAUCUGCUAAUGGAUUUUCUCAUGCCACAAUUGACAAACCAACAAGAAAUUAAGUUUUAGGCCAUCAAUAUUAUAGGGUGAUUUUAACAGAAGUAUAAAUUUGACAAAUGAGCCAGUCUAUCAGCAGCAUAAACAACUGAACAUUAUAGGGGUGAUCUAAUGCACGAAGCGUCCCACGCUUGUGGGCUUUCGAGAUGCCAUUGAUGUACAAAGCCUUACGCCUGCUUUGCUUAGAGGCUGUUUCCAUAAAAUGACUAUUGAGUAUUGACCUAUUGCGCUUCAACUACUAUGAAAUUAUACACCAGUAUUAAUUUAGUAUAAUGCCUAGCAGACAGGAAAUGUGCACACACUGAUGCUAAUUGUUGUUUCCCUAAGCUAAAAGAGACUUGCAUUGCGUAUCUUUUUACUUUCCAGAAUGGGAAAUCUGUAACAAGAUUAACUUGGGUUGCUGAACACAUUUCUUGUCACAACAGUGUCUUUUCUUGAAUCAAUAGGAAUGUUAUUCAAAAUGCAAUACAAUCUCUUCAGAAGAUAAAUUCCACUUUCUGCAACAUCUGAUAAUCUUUUCUGCAACAUCUGACAAUCUUUUCAUGGAAUUGCUGAACUAGCAAAUCAAAAUAUGUAAGUUCUGUAGAAUAAAUUGACCAAUAGCCAGAUGCUUUUUGUAAUCUUGAUUUUUGGGUUAAAGUUGCACCCCUUAUCCUUGUAUUAAUGUCCCAAAAGAUUUGGAUACAGAAUGGCAAAAUAAUUUCAAGCCUCAAAACUAUACCAUCAAAUUGAAUACACAUAUAUUAAAAUUUACUGCUGGAGCUGAAGCACAGUAAACGUGAAUGCAGCACGCUGUAUGCCAACCACAUUGCUAGUUAGCCAGAUUACAUGAUGGUAUGGCUUAUCCAGUACAAUGGAUAUGGAAAGAAGUGGAAAAUAAGAAAAGUGAUUAGCUUUAUAGACCACAAGAAAUGGUAUUGGUACAAGUACUUACUGAGUUCCAAACAGGCUUUUCUG
rnacentral:misc_RNA from 1 species